UAGGGAAUCUUCGGCAAUGGACGAAAGUCUGAUGGAGCAACGCCGCGUGAGUGAAGAAGGUUUUCGGAUCGUAAAGCUCUGUUGUUGGUGAAGAAGGAUAGAGGCAGUAACUGGUCUUUAUUUGACGGUAAUCAACCAGAAAGUCACGGCUAACUACGUACCAG
rnacentral:rRNA from 1 species